UACGUAGGGUGCGAGCGUUAAUCGGAAUUACUGGGCGUAAAGCGUGCGCAGGCGGCUUUGCAAGACAGAGGUGAAAUCCCCGGGCUCAACCUGGGAACUGCCUUUGUGACUGCAUAGCUAGAGUACGGUAGAGGGGGAUGGAAUUCCGCGUGUAGCAGUGAAAUGCGUAGAUAUGCGGAGGAACACCGAUGGCGAAGGCAAUCCCCUGGACCUGUACUGACGCUCAUGCACGAAAGCGUGGGGAGCAAACAGG
rnacentral:rRNA from 1 species